rnacentral:lncRNA from 1 species
GCAAACAUGUCAUUAAUCUAACUCACUAAAAUCAAUGUCCAAAUAUGUUGGUGCGAAUCAGUGUCUCCUCCUUCUUCUUCUCCAAAACCAAUCCAUACCAAGGUACUACUAACUUCUUCUUCACAGUGCUGCAUUCUUUUAUGUGCUUCCUUUUCCUUCAAUUUUCUUCAUAUUUUCAGUGUCCCAAUUUCAUGUCUCUACGAGGAACAACGCACCCAAAAACAUUUCACAACUUCAACUAAACAAGCACAUAGACCAGUUUCAAGACAAAAAAGUGAGACUUUCAUUGUUGUUUUGUCUCUUACCUAUGCAAUUUCAAUUUUCAAACAAAAAUUUUUGAAUAAAAUUUCACUUGCAAUAUAAUUUAUGUUAAUAAUUUUACUACACAGAAGUUUGGUUUGAGUUUGACUAAGAUUGAAGGAUCUGCAUACACAAAAACAGUUGAAUUGGGUCAAUUCAGUAAGUGCUUCUUGUAUGCAAUUUAUAGUUUUGGCCUUUUCAGUUGAUUCUAUUUUAUCAAAGCAUCUUUAGUUUAGGGAGCUUAUAGUAUGUUUGUCUUUAGAUUGGUUUGUGUCCUUAAUGUGAUUAUAAAAUGUACUUUCAACAGCAUUAGCUAUUGGUUUAUCGAGCCAAACUAAGGAGCGUGUUUUUCGUGGUAACUACAUAUACCUUCUCAUGUUUAUUGUCAUGAAAAACAUGUUGAGAUUUGUUUUCUUUUGUUCGUAGUUUGAGAAGCUUCAUUCUAAGAUUAUGAAAAACAUGACUGUAUGAAGUAGUUUCGGUCCAUGUAAUGUUUGGCAGUUGCUCAUACAAGUGUAAUC